AUUUAAAUAGCUUAUAUCUAGAGCGUGACACUGAAGAUGUUAAAGAGAUUUAUUUAAUCUUUAAAUA
rnacentral:tRNA from 1 species